rnacentral:rRNA from 1 species
AUUGAACGCUGGCGGCAGGCCUAACACAUGCAAGUCGAACGAGUGGCGGACGGGAGAGUAAUGUCUGGGAAACUGCCUGAUGGAGGGGGAUAACUAAUGGAAACGGUAGAUAAUACAGCAUACCAUCGGAUGUGCCCAGAUGUGAGUAGCUAGUAGGUGGGGUAACGUCUCACCUAGGCGACGAUCCCUAGCUGGUCUGAGAGGACGACCGGCCACACUGGAACUGAUCCACGGUCCAGCCUCCUACGGGAGGCAGCAGUGGGGAAUAUUGCACAAUGGGCGCACGCCUGAUGCAGCCAUGCCGCGUGUAUGAAGAAGGCCUUCGGGUUUUAAGGUACUUUCAGCGGGGAGGCGUUACCCGCAGAAGAAGCCCCGGCUAACUCCGUGCCAGCAGCCGCGGUAAUUC